AGCAAAGAAGUAUGUUGCCCUCCAGGAAAUGUAUGUCACUCUGUAGUAAUUAGGCUGACAUACAUUUCCCUGGUGGCAA
rnacentral:pre_miRNA from 2 species